GGAUCUUAGCAUGAACAGCAUCAGUGAGCUGCAACCCAGAGUCUUCCACAGCCUGCACCUGCUGACAGAACUGCGUAUCUCAGGGAACCGGUUAAGGUACAUCUCUGGCCUCGCUCUCCAUGGUCUACACAAUCUCAAAGUGUUGAUGCUUCAGAAUAAUCAGCUGGAAAGACUUCCCAAUGACAUUCCAUGGAAUCUACCCAACCUGCUGUCUCUGUGAGUAACAC